CAAAGGCAAAUUCCUCACCAAAUCUCCGUAGAUACUCUGCUGAUUUCCACCAUUUCAAGAAUCCUUUUACUACAUCAUACCACUUCACUUUCCCAAAGCCAACCUCAAUCUCAAACAAAACCAACUCUUUUACACACAGAAAAACUCCCAACCUCCCAUUUUUAAUCAAACAAACCUCCACCAAGCAACAACAAACACCUCAUACAGUUCAUACAAGAGCUUCAAGUGGCUAUGCAGCAGCACUUGUAGACAUAGCUAACACACACAACUCACUC
rnacentral:lncRNA from 1 species